GAUGAACGCUGGCGGCGUGCCUAAUACAUGCAAGUCGAGCGAACAGAUGAGGAGCUUGCUCCUCUGACGUUAGCGGCGGACGGGUGAGUAACACGUGGAUAACCUACCUAUAAGACUGGGAUAACUUCGGGAAACCGGAGCUAAUACCGGAUAAUAUAUUGAACCGCAUGGUUCAAUAGUGAAAGACGGUUUUGCUGUCACUUAUAGAUGGAUCCGCGCCGCAUUAGCUAGUUGGUAAGGUAACGGCUUACCAAGGCAACGAUGCGUAGCCGACCUGAGAGGGUGAUCGGCCACACUGGGACUGAGACACGGUCCAGACUCCUACGGGAGGCAGCAGUAGGGAAUCUUCCGCGAUGGGCGAAAGCUUGACGGAGCAACGCCGCGUGAGUGAUGAAGGUCUUCGGAUCGUAAAACUCUGUGAUUAGGGAAGAACAAAUGUGUAAGUAACUAUGCACGUCUUGACGGUACCUAAUCAGAAAGCCACGGCUAACUACGUG
rnacentral:rRNA from 1 species